rnacentral:misc_RNA from 1 species
GAAAUGCGAUAAGUAAUGUGAAUUGCAGAAUUCAGUGAAUCAUCGAAUCUUUGAACGCCCAUUGCGCCCGCCAGUAUUCUGGCGGGCAUGCCUGUCCGAGCGUCAUUUCAACCAUCAAGCCCCCGGGCUUGUGUUGGGGACCUGCGGCUGCCCGCAGGCCCUGAAAACCAGUGGCGGGCUCGCUGUCACACCGAGCGUAGUAGCAAUCACCUCGCUCAGGGCGUGCUGCGGGUUCCGGCCGUUAAACAGCCUUACAAAACCCAAGGUUGACCUCGGAUCAGGUAGGAAGACCCGCUGAACUUAAGC